rnacentral:rRNA from 1 species
ACGGAAGUCGUUGUAAUGAAAUAGAAACGGACAGAGAACUCGUUCGAAGAAAGUGGAAGUAGACUUACAACAAUGGCUUUAGUGGCGGACUGGUGAGUAACGCGUAAGGAACCUGCCUUCUAGAGGGGAAUAACAAUGAGAAAUCAUUGCUAAUACCGCAUAUGCCGAGAGAAUCACAUGGUACAAUCGGGAAAAGAGUAAUCUGCUAGAAGAUGGCCUUGCGUCUGAUUAGAUAGUUGGUGGGGUAACGGCCUACCAAGUCGACGAUCAGUAGCCGGACUGAGAGGUUGAACGGCCACAUUGGGACUGAGAUACGGCCCAGACUCCUACGGGAGGCAGCAGUCGGGAAUAUUGCGCAAUGGAGGAAACUCUGACGCAGUGACGCCGCGUAUAGGAAGAAGGUUUUCGGAUUGUAAACUAUUGUCAUUAGGGAAGAUAAAAGACAGUACCUAAGGAGGAAGCUCCGGCUAACUACGUGCCAGCAGCCGCGGUAAUACGUAGGGAGCAAGCGUUAUCCGGAUUUAUUGGGUGUAAAGGGUGCGUAGACGGGAGAUUAAGUUAGUUGUGAAAGCCCUUGGCUUAACUGAGGAAUUGCAACUAAAACUGGUUUUCUUGAGUGCAGGAGAGGUAAGUGGAAUUCCUAGUGUAGCGGUGAAAUGCGUAGAUAUUAGGAGGAACACC